GACAGAGGUGCCAAGCGUUAGGCGGAAUCACUGGGCUUAAAGCGUGUGUAGGCGGAUCGUUAAGUACCUUGUGAAAUCCCACGGCUCAACCGUGGAACUGCUGGGUAUACUGGCGGUCUUGAGCCACCUAGGGGCAACUGGAACAAGCGGUGGAGCGGUGAAAUGCGUAGAUAUCGCUUGGAACGCCAACGGUGAAAACAGGUUGCUGGGGGUGUGCUGACGCUGGAGACACGAAAGCCAGGGGGAGCGAAACGGGG
rnacentral:rRNA from 1 species